CUUUAUUGGAGAGUUUGAUCCUGGCUCAGGACGAACGCUGGCGGCGUGCCUAAUACAUGCAAGUCGAGCGAAUCGGAGGGAGC
rnacentral:rRNA from 1 species